GUUGCAAAACGAUUCCCGCCAUAGUGUUAGCUGGUAUUUCCGUCCUCAGGCGGGCUCGCCAUUUCUUUUUUGUGCUGCGAACAUUUAAGACCGAGUCUCCUAGCAACUUUCCAGUACAUAAUACGGUCUGAUUAACUGUAAUCACCGCGCUGUACCUCAGAUGUCUAGAACUUACACGCGCAAAUUUCUACCCUUUGACCAGCGUCUCCCCAGUUAGCAGCAGCCGGAUCUUGAAGAGGCUUGCCAAGUACCACAGGACUCUGGACUUACUUUCAUCCCGAGCACAACGAGAAAUACACAACCCGUAUACGUAGGGAAAAAAAAAAAGACCUCACGCCACCACGUUGACUCACGGUUCGUUUCGUAAUUCGCAGCGUGGGUAGCUUACGGGUCUGGAAGCAAUGUCACCUACAGUGAGUCACAGGGCCGCAGGGCUGAGAGACGUCAAAGGAAAAUUCGAUGCCAGGAGGACAAAUCGGAGAAGCUCAAGGGGGAGCUAGCUAAUAUGCCAGCACAUGUCCCGAGAACUGACUGAAGUACGGGGACCUUUGGGCACCUACAGCCUGGAGGGAAAGAUGCGUUUGGGCAGGAGGAAGCAAAAGUGUGUGGAAAACAUUCCAGUUGAUGGGGCGGACCGAACAGAAACGCAGCAGCAUCGGACAAAUUCAUGGCUACAUUCAUGACUAAACUCAACGAAGUGGAUACAUUCAUUGGCUAAAAGGACUCGAGGGUCUUCUUAUCCCCUGAUGCCCUUGUCUGAGUCUGAGGAACCGGGGCCUCACCCACAGUGAGGCAUUUCCAUACGCUUGUGUUCUCCCGUCCUUCAAAUGCCCGGGCUCGAGUCCUUGCUGCGGCACAUGCGUGCCCUCCCCUUCUCCCCACAUCCUGAAACCACCACCCAAAGGUGGGCAAGGUGACCU